CCUACGGGAGGCAGCAGUGAGGAAUAUUGGUCAAUGGACGAAAGUCUGAACCAGCCAAGUAGCGUGAAGGAUGACUGCCCUAUGGGUUGUAAACUGCUUUUAUAUGGGAAUAAAACGUUCCACGUGUGGGAUUUUGUAUGUACCAUAUGAAUAAGGAUCGGCUAACUCCGUGCCAGCAGCCGCGGUAAUACGGAGGAUCCGAGCGUUAACCGGAUUUAUUGGGUUUAAAGGGAGCGUAGGUGGAAUGUUAAGUCAGUUGUGAAAGUUUGCGGCUCAACCGGAAAAUUGCAGUUGAAACUGGCAGUCUUGAGUACAGUAGAGGUGGGCGGAAUUCGUGGUGUAGCGGUGAAAUGCUUAGAUAUCACGAAGAACUCCGAUUGCGAAGGCAGUUCACUGGACUGCAACUGACACUGAGGCUCGAAAGUGUGGGUAUCAAACAGGAUUAGAUACCCCUGUAGUC
rnacentral:rRNA from 1 species